rnacentral:rRNA from 1 species
UCAAGUGAAUAAGCGUGCACGGUGGAUGCCUAGGCAGUCAGAGGCGAUGAAGGACGUGGUAACCUGCGAAAAGUUUUGGGGAGGUGGUAAACAACCUAUGAUCCAGAGAUAUCCGAAUGGGGAAACCCACCCAGUGUAAGCUGGGUACCAUAUACUGAAUACAUAGGUAUAUGGGGCGAACCGGGAGAACUGAAACAUCUAAGUACCCCGAGGAAAAGAAAUCAAUUGAGAUUCCCCUAGUAGCGGCGAGCGAACGGGGAUUAGCCCUUAAGUUUAUUAUGUUUUAGCGGAAGUAGCUGGAAAGUUACGCCAUAGUGGGUGAUAGCCCCGUACGCGAAAAGGCAUUUUAGAUGAAAACGAGUAGGUCGGGACACGAGAAAUCUUGACUGAACAUGGGGGGACCAUCCUCCAAGGCUAAAUACUCCUGACUGACCGAUAGUGAACCAGUACCGUGAGGGAAAGGCGAAAAGAACCCCUGUGAGGGGAGUGAAAUAGAUCCUGAAACCGUGUACGUACAAGCAGUGGGAGCCGAUUUAUUCGGUGACUGCGUACCUUUUGUAUAAUGGGUCAGCGACUUAAUUUUAGUAGCAAGCUUAACCGAAUAGGGGAGGCGUAGGGAAACCGAGUCUUAAUAGGGCGUAUAGUUGCUAGGAUUAGACCCGAAACCGGGCGAUCUACCCAUGGCCAGGUUGAAGGUUGAGUAACAUCAACUGGAGGACCGAACCCACGUAUGUUGAAAAAUGCGGGGAUGAGCUGUGGGUCGGAGUGAAAGGCUAAUCAAGCCCGGAGAUAGCUGGUUCUCCUCGAAAGCUAUUUAGGUAGCGCCUCGUGUCUCACCAUUGGGGGUAGAGCACUGUUUCGGCUAGGGGGUCAUCCCGACUUACCAACCCGAUGCAAACUCCGAAUACCAAUGAGUGCAAUCACGGGAGACACACGGCGGGUGCUAACGUCCGUCGUGGAAAGGGAAACAACCCAGACCGUCAGCUAAGGUCCCAAAGUUAUAGUUAAGUGGGAAACGAUGUGGGAAGGUUUAGACAGCUAGGAGGUUGGCUUAGAAGCAGCCAUCCUUUAAAGAAAGCGUAAUAGCUCACUAGUCGAAUCGGCCUGCGCGGAAGAUAUAACGGGGCUCAAACUAUACACCGAAGCUACGGACGCAUGCUUGCAUGCGUGGUAGAGGAGCGUUCUGUAGGCCGUUGAAGGGAAAGCUGAGAGGCAUCCUGGAGGUAUCAGAAGUGCGAAUGCUGACAUGAGUAACGAUAAGGGGAGUGAAAAGCUCCCCCGCCGGAAGACCAAGGUUUCCUAUCCAAUGCUAAUCAGGGUAGGGUGAGUCGGCCCCUAAGGCGAGGCUGAAGAGCGUAGUCGAUGGGAAGCAGGUUAAUAUUCCUGCACCACUCAAUAUUGCGAAGGAGGGACGGAGAAGGCUAGUCCAGCGCGGCGUUGGUUGUCCGCGUUUAAGCGUGUAGGCUUAAAUCUUAGGUAAAUCCGGGAUUUUUUAAGGCUGAGGCGUGAUGACGAGGUCCAUUAGGACUGAAGUGGUUGAUGCCAUGCUUCCAGGAAAAGCUUCUAAGCAUCAGAUAUUGAGUGACCGUACCCCAAACCGACACAGGUGGUCAGGUAGAGAAUACCAAGGCGCUUGAGAGAACUCGGGUGAAGGAACUAGGCAAAAUGGUACCGUAACUUCGGGAGAAGGUACGCCGCUGAUGGUGAUGGGACUUGCUCCCUAAGCUGUUGGCGGCCGAAGAUACCAGGUGGCUGCGACUGUUUAUUAAAAACACAGCACUGUGCAAACACGAAAGUGGACGUAUACGGUGUGACGCCUGCCCGGUGCCGGAAGGUUAAUUGAUGGGGUUAGCUUCGGCGAAGCUCUUGAUCGAAGCCCCGGUAAACGGCGGCCGUAACUAUAACGGUCCUAAGGUAGCGAAAUUCCUUGUCGGGU